CGGGAACAAAUUGACAUAAGUCAUAACCAUUAUACGUUAAAACUAAAUUAAAUAAUAAAUCCUGAAGUAUUUUUAGUUUUGAAUAGCAAGACAAGUUUCCAGAAAUAUUAACUCACUCUCAAGUUUCGAAAAACUAGAAUAGAAGCGCGGCGAAUUAUCUCGAGUACCUGGCAAGCGUGCCCAAUGCGGCACACGUAUACAAGGGCACAUACCUCAUGCCGAUAGUGGCACAGACGGCACGAGCGCGCAAAACGACACAAAUGGCACACAGCGUGCGAGUAAUGAGCGCGACGAUGCACACUGGAAGAUGCUCGCGAGAUAUAGCCACACGUGCAAUAGUGCAAUGCGCACAAAGGUAAUGUCAUUCUGUGUGGUGUGGUAACGACGAGAAAGUGGAGUGCACGACUGCACGACGACAGUCGACAGUCGGCACGCUCAGGUGCGCGUUACACCUUAAAUAAUGUUAAUAUCAUUAAAGCCAUGUUUGCAUC